rnacentral:rRNA from 1 species
UUAUAUACAUCUUUAUGGUUGCGUCCAAUAUUUCCAUCAUCCCAGAAUCCAUUGCACAGAAAGUCACUAUCAUGGAAGACCACCUGCAAGUUCAGGACCAACAGUUGGUGCUACCACCGGGGUUUAGGUUCCACCAGACGGAAGAGGAGAUCAUCAAAUUCUAUGUGGUCUCCAAGGUGCAAGAUCAUCUUCGUCACUGCGGCGAUUGAGGAUGUGAACCUCAACAAGUAUGAGCCAUGGGAGCUACCGGAGAAGGCGGAGAUGGGGGAGAAGGAGUGGUACUUUUACUCCCGAAAGGAUCGCAAGUAA